UUCUGAUUUUAUAAAAGCAAUAAAGAUAUUCUAGAUGGAAACUUAGAAACAUAUAUAAAGGACACAGACAAUGCCAAAUAGAAUAUAGAAAUGUUUCAUAAUACACUUGUUACAAAACACGUCAAAAUAAUUAGCCAACUACUAGGAGUGGAGCUGAACCUGACCUUUUUCUUGAAGCAUUAUUUCCUUAUUUAAUAUGCUCAAAUGGUGGAAAUUGUCAUAUCAAGUGAGAAUGUGAGAACAAUAUGGAAGUUGUCAACUACCCCUCAGUAACUGAAAACUACCCGGCCAUGUCUCGCCAUCAUAGAGACAUUGGGAGUAGCAGGGCUAAACAUGCCACCAAAUCUGUAUGUAAAACAAAAAGUAACAUGAAGAGAAAAAGAAAAAUUCUGAAGCGAAAAAAAAAAUUAGAUAGAAUACUAAGGAUAGGUGUAAAAAGGAACUAUAUUUUAGACGUGGUUCCUCUACAACUGCUGCAGGUCUCCGAGACUGCCACCCUUAAAAAAAUGCCAGAGCUAUUCAACCAUCCAACUUAUAAGUGAAAAUUGUUAUAAACUUGCAUUUCCAUUUAUCAGUCAAUGUGCAUAACAUGUCCUCUCAGUGAUCAUCAAGAAGCUCUAAAUAUUAGAUAUCUGUUCAAAUUUGCAUGAAAAGGAAAAAAGUAAAAUGUAAGAAAGUCAAAGCCCCUUACAUCUAUUGUCAAAUGACAUCUCUAAGGUGCCCCAGAAGAGUUCUUAUUAAUGACUCAAUUAAUAUUCUUACUUUUAGGGAAAACCAUGAGAGAUGAAAGCAUUUCUAACUUCAGAAGUAGACCUCAGUGUAAUUACAUAAUUUAAAACUAAUGAAUGGAGACGCUGCACAUCAUCCCCGAAGACCGGAUCACAAGCAGCAAAGCUAUAUCCACCCCAAUUUUGUGUAAAAAGGUCGCCAUUGCCUUCAAUGGCCCUUCACAUGCCACCACCAAUUCUCAACUGAGGCGGAUUAAUGGCACCACUACCCACAUCCUUUAGCAACCUUUACUAGUAGAACUAUUGUCACUUUUAAUCCCAUUCUCGUUACUUGUCACCAAAAUCUAACCACUUGGAGUAUCAUAUAACUAGAGUCACCAACACCACCUGUAGAGCACAGUUGCACUGCCAGCCACAUAAACACAACAUGUAAUGCAAUGCGCUGAAAUAUAAUAUAGAUAUGCACAAUAAGGGUAAAGUGGGAAAUACCCUGGGCAUACUUACCUCAUCAAACCCUACCUUAGAAGCUUUCAAUAACCAAAAACCCACCACAAAAUCAAUAUAGGUAAAUAGGUAUACCAAGUUUGCUAAGGUGGACUACACAGAAGUGCUUUAUCAACACUUACUAAGUAUUACUGCCAUCACAAAUGCUGAAAAGCUAUUCACCCCUUGAACCCUUGCCAGUUCCAACACUUGCAAUCACUCAAAAAAAUUGUGUAAAUCCAAAUAUAAAUGUGAAGUUCUGUUCUUACAUUCAGGAUCAUUACUGACCGAUGUGAAAGUUGCAAAUUAGUGGCCUAUAGGUGUCAAAAUGUUUAACUGUCAUUAGGAAGCUGGGAAUACUCUCUGAGAAAACAGUUGAGGAUUUCAGGCUACCUAUUGAGUAAAUACUUAUAUAGGUGGAGUUAAGUAAUUUCUUUCUUCGUUUUUUUUUCUUUUUCCUUCACUCUAUUGUGUUUACUUGUGUGAUUGCGAGGGGAGUGUUACGCUGGAUCUUUUAGAACCAAUUCAGAAGCUUUAUGAAUCUUUUUGCUCGACUCAAGUAAACAGUGGAUUGUACUGCUUAUAUAAAGUAUUCGGGUGCAGAUUAUUUAGGAGAAAACUGGUGACAACCAAUAAAUCUUUCAAAAUACAAAGGAUUAAAUGUUUGCAAUUUUGUCGACACACUUUCAAUAUUUCUGUUCAACUUUGGAAUAUUAAAUUUUAUCAGUGGCAUAGUAUAUCCUGCCUUAAGAAACUGACCAUGUAAGCUCCAAAAAAAAAUUAUUGAUCAACUUGGAUAGUCAUUUGAAUUUUAAAUUCUUUUAUUUUGCCUAAAAUAUCCAUUCAAUAUACUCUACCUUUAACCAUUUACUUGUACUAAUGUAGACCAUUGCAAAUAUAAAAUUAUAAUUUCCAGGAAUGUUUAUAACAGUUGUGAACACUGAGAUUGUUUGAUAAUGUCCAAUUUUAGUCUAGAAAGAUCCUCUGCCAGAUAUACAAUGAGAUUGAUCAAAUACAUUUGUAUAUUUCACUUAAAACAACCUUUUCCAAACUACUUGGCAAUAAGUCCUGACAACACAAAUUAUACUUCCUAAUUUUUUAUGAGAUUAUACUAUCCUCAACAUAAUACUAGGUUUUCAAUUUGAACUUCUUAUCCCUAAUAGCACAUCUCGACGCAAUUGUAUUUAUUUAAUCAUAAAUAAAAUCAUUGUAUUUAAGCUAAAUGGACAUACAUAUGACCAGCAUUACAUGGUUGAUAAAUAACAACGCCAACAUAAAUUAAUAAAAUAAACCAACACCACAAAAUCCCACAACAUGUAUAGUAAGAACAAAUGUGUACAAGCAAAAUUAACUAACAAAAAAAUGUGUACAAGCAAAUAAAUCAGUCAGAAGAAUGGACCCAUUACCUUAGUUGCUCUGAAAUAGAACUGACUCAAUGAUUGGAUGGCAUUGUUCACUGAAUCGGAAUAAUAAAAACGAGCCUGUUUGUGUGACGAAAUGCUCUAGAAGACCCAAUUAGCUCAUAAUAUCGGCUGAAUAGAGGUUCUCGCUCAGCGAACCGAUGCAUGUAAUGUAAUACAUGAUCUCCUUCUUUAUCUUCUGUAUUCCUAAACCCCACUGAUUUGCAGGGACGAAAUAUCAUUCUUUUGUUUUCGGGUUUGUUUUUUCCUCUUUUAAAUUUCAC
rnacentral:lncRNA from 1 species